CGGGGUGAGUAAUGUCUGGGAAACGGCCUGAUGGAGGGGGAUAACUACUGGAAACGGUAGCUAAUACCGCAUAACGUCGCAAGACCAAAGAGGGGGACCUUAGGGUCUCUUGCCAUCGGAUGUGCCCAGAUGGGAUUAGCUAGUAGGUGGGGUAAUGGCUCACCUAGGCGACGAUCCCUAGCUGGUCUGAGAGGAUGACCAGCCACACUGGAACUGAGACACGGUCCAG
rnacentral:rRNA from 1 species